CACACAGACAACCAAGGAUGCUGCACCAAUCAAAACCUCUGUGCUACAGGCCAUGCCAUAGUCUCCUCACUAGAGAAUAAAAGAGCAGCUAGAGUCUCAGGAUGCAGGCAGCUCAGGACCUAUUCCCCAGCAGCCUUCCAGCCCCCAGAGAGGUAAUUAGAGAGCAAAUGAAAUGUUUCCACGCCCUUUGUGCUCUCCAUUCCCCCAGUGAGGGGGAACAGAUCCCCUGAUGCAAGGUAUAACACAAAGAGCCUUAGCCUGGGAUUUGGGAGUUUUUGUCCUACUUCUGUCACUAUAACCCCUCUCUAGGACUGUCUCUUCUUCGAAAAACAAUGUUGGACUAGAUGAUCUCUAAGGUCUCUUGCAACUUUGACAUUACAAUGUCAGAGUGAAAUAAAGGACAAGCCAGACUAUCUGUGGAAAUGAGCACAGACACACAAAGAUGCAGCCUUAGCCAUCCUGGGCCCCCUGAUGUUUUUUUCCCUGCUUGUACAAAACAUUGUUGGCCUGUGCCCUGGCCUACUUCCAGACCACAGGCAUGUGGAAGGUGUGGACCUAACAACAGAUUGAGGCCCUUGAGGAACUACACAUAAGAGGCAUGCCCAAAGACAGUAUGCCAACUUGGGGAUUACUGGUGUGGUACAAGUCGCAGUGGUUUAAACAAAGCUAAAGGACAACUUUGGAUGCUCCAUUUCUAGAUCCGCUGGGCUCUGGUACCAAAGCAGCCACCUGGGAGGGUUCCUUGGUUCUAAGUUACUGAAGAUAUAGCUCUGCUUUCCUACAGGCCACAAAGAGGAUGAAUCCAAAGGGGGCUGGUGAAAUUUAGCUGCUUCAAUGUGGAAGGAAAGCACCUGUGAGGCCAAAGGCUACGUGGUGACAACAGGGCUCCAGCUUUACUCCAAACACAAAUCUCUGCCUCUACGUGGAAGACUCAUUUCCCAAAUUGUGGUUUUUAUCGUCUGAAACAAGAAGUACAAGUUGUGAGCUGUGUACAAAAGAUAUGACUGCCCAGAAACUCUUGGCUCAAUGUACAUGUGAUGACUGCCUUGGAGAAAGGACAGACUGUACCUGACAUGGGAGAUGGACAGAGUGGUGGCGGCUUUACUGGCUUUUCCGCUGUUCUGCAGCUUGGUCCUCAAUUCAUUCAUCUCGGCGUCUUUAAACUGAAGUUCUGACUGCAGCGACUGGAGCUAGAAGGCAAGAGACAGUCUAUCCAUUCAACAAAUAUUCUUCAAACACCUACUAGGUACAAUACAGUAUGUUAGGGAACGCAAAGACAUAAAUGAAAACAUGUUGUGGAUGAGCAGGUUCGUGUGUCUAGACCAUCUUUAAUACUGACCUAAAGAUUUCACAUCUUGAACUAGAAAAGGGAAACCAAUAAAAAACAAGGAAAGGAAAUUGCUGUAAGGCAGCUAAUCACAUCGAAUGAUCUCAAGUUCUAGCCUUGUUUCUGAAUCUGGGCAAGAAUUAAUACAUUAUAGAUCACCUCAUUUAUAUAAAAAAGUGAUUUCCAAAGCCUCCUUGAUAUGUAUAGCCCAAAUAUCUAGAGUCUACAUGCAGUGCAUAGGGCUAUGGGUCCAUUUCGUUGGUGGCUUAAAUGAAAUGGGGUAGCUCAACCGCAAUUGUAGGAGUUUGAAACUGUUGAUAAAACUAAGGGUCUGUGUAUCAGCUAAGUUCUGUGUACAGAGGACAACUAAAAUGUAGGAAAUCAUUCCAUCAGGAAGUCCUCUGUGUUAACUUUACUGGUGUGAAGUGCCCUUCAGGAAGCCCUAAACCUGGAAUUUUAUAUGCUCAAUGUGAUUUUAACAAAAAAUCAGAAAAAGCCACAAGAGCGCAACCAGAGAUUUUAAACUGAGUUCAGCAGGGCACUGUCAUGGGAUGGAAAUAAUAUUAGAUUUGGACCCAGGAGAGAUGGGUUCUGACAUUUAUUAGCUAUGUGAUCAUGGGCAAGUCUCUUAGCUUCCCUGCACCUCAUCUGUAAAAUGGACGUAAUGAUGGAGAGAUGAUA